GAUCCUGGGCUCAGGAUGAACGCUAGCGGCAGGCCUAACACAUGCAAGUCGAGGGGCAGCACGGUGUAGCAAUACACUGGUGGCGACCGGCGCACGGGUGCGUAACGCGUAUGCAACCUACCCAUAACAGGGGGAUAACACUGAGAAAUUGGUACUAAUACCCCAUAACAUCAGGACCGGCAUCGGUUCUGGUUGAAAACUCCGGUGGUUAUGGAUGGGCAUGCGUUGUAUUAGCUGGUUGGUG
rnacentral:rRNA from 1 species